UACUAAAAUCAUCUUUUUUUAUCCUCAGGCAUUCCCUGAAUCAUUGUUUCAUCAACUACUCCUGGCUAUGGUCCAUCAAGAUCAUGAGACACAAGCAACGGCUCACCGUGUCUUUUCGAUAGUUCUUGUGCCUAUCUCAGUUUCCCCUCGGGCAGGCAUGCUUGCUUCCAAUAAGGCAUCGGAUGUUCCAAGAACACUCUCUAGAGCAGUCUCUGUCUUUUCUUCUUCAGCUGCCUUGUUUGAGAAGCUAAAAUCAGAGAAACGUUCUUCAAAUGAAAAUUUAAGUUAAUAUAACAAGGAAAAUAAUGCUGGAGAGACUAAACCAACUAAUGGCGUUGGCGGGUUCCUAAGCAGAUUGAAGUCGACUAAUAAUCGUGUGCAUCAUGGGAGUGAGAGUCAGCUAGCUAUAGUGGAUGAAAAUAGUACAGAUGAUGACAAUGGAAAUUUGGUGAGUCUUGCAUUGAUGAGUAUGUGUGUUUGAAUUUAGUCCUGCAUUUUAAACAAACUUCAAGUAUCUCGAGUAUGUUAACUGUAAUCUGGUUUAUAAUCAUGGUUACUUGAUUAUCUUCUUUUCACCUGAAUGCAGGAAAUUGCAGCUCUUAGGUUAAGUAGUCUUUAGAUAAAUCAAUUGCUAUCAUUAAUUUGGGUUCAGUCUAUCUCUCUUACAAAUUUGCCUGAAAAUUAUGAAGCCAUUGCUCAUACAUACAGCUUGGUGUUGCUUUUAUCUAGAGCUAAGAAUUCUUUUCAGGAAGUCCUAGUUCGGAGUUUUCAGCUUGCUUUUUCUUUGUGAAAAAUUUCUCUUAAAGAAGGGUCAUUGAUACUAUCUUGACGGAGAUCACUCUUUACUUUAGCACUUUCGAUGAUUUUGUUUUCUUCAAAAGCCUACAAAAUCAAUCUCUUGUUCAGAGUGCCAAGGAAACACAUACAAAAAAACAGAUUAAUCCCUUCCUUCGUUUAGUUGAUGAUCAUAAGCUGCAAGUUUUCAGCACUGCAUGUGAUGGUUCGACCAUUGCCUAUGAAUCGAAAGAAGAUGAUUACAGGGCCUCAAAUUUGCUUCCAGAGUUAAUGACUCUUACACAGAAAAUACAGGAAUUCUUUGUUUCUGAAAUCAUCCAGUACCUGGAAGUGUUGGAAGAGGCUAAUAAUGCUAAAAGCGAGCCUACUACCCCCCUUUGAUGCUAGGAAAUCAAUUGGUGAUAGCAACGGACAUUCGAGGACAAAUAUUUGAGACUUUUAUGUAAUUAGAUCAUAUUGAAAUAUUAAAGUUGUUGUUUUAUUUUAUUU